rnacentral:lncRNA from 1 species
GAGACAUGCUUGCGCAGAAUACAGAGCAAGAGGGCUUCAGCAAACUGGAAAAAUGGUGAAGCUGCCUCCCAUAAGCUCUACAGGCACUGUCAUUACAGAGGCUGGAGCCAUAUCAACACAGAAAUGUUUAUGAUCCCUGCCUCAGUUGCGGAGGAAUUUAGGUGUGCAGUGAGCAAAACCGAGAACAUCAGAAACAGCAAGGAUGAUCUCACGGUUGAGGUGCCUACAGCGUGGUCAUUGUUGAGGUAUUUGAACAUUUCCUUGCAGAAUGGGAUUCGGUCCCUGCCUCUGCCAGAGGGCUGGUACCUGAUGUUAGGCCUGACUUUGACACUCACGGAUACUGUCGGGGCAGCUGGGCUUUACAUCCAGGUUGUUAAGUAAGUUAAAAAUUCAGGCUGCAGGUGUCUCAGGUGAGUGCUUCUUACUGAUGGAUAGUUUUCGACCUUAGUUUGAGCCAUAGUUACAAGGUAAAUGAUGGAAAAUGAGCCCCCUCCCCUCAUUCCCCUGCGUAUCAGUGGAGGGGAAGGUAACACUUCUUUUCUGCAGUGAUGACCGCCAUAAAAAAGCCAUGAAACUAUUCUGUUUGCAGAGAUGGGGAAUAAUAUGCAGUAAGCAAGGGCUGGGGAAUAAACCUGCUGUAUGUAUAUGCUAAUUAAGAAUG